rnacentral:sRNA from 1 species
UGGACUCCUGGGUCUGAGGGAGGAGGGGGCUGGUCCAUGCCUUUCUGUGAUCACACUGUCCUUCCUUGGCCAGAUUGAAAACUGGGUGACAGAGGGUCCUAGUGAAGACGAGGCCGUGUGCGUGAACUGCCAGAAUAACAGCUAUGGGGAGAAAUGCGACAGCUGCCUGCAGGGCUACUUCCUCCUGGACGGGAAGUGCACCAAUGUGCCAAGUGCCGGGAAUCGUUUCAUGGGAGUCCGCUGGGUGGCCAGCAGUGCUACCGCCUCAUCUCGGUGGAGCAGGAGUGCUGCCUGGACCCCACGUCCCAGACCAACUGCUUCCAUGAGCCCAAGCGCCGGGCACUAGGCCCCGGCCGCACUGUCCUCUUUGGCGUGCAGCCCAAAUUCACCAACGUGGACAUCCGCCUGACGCUGGACGUGACCUUCGGGGCUGUGGACCUCUAUGUCUCCACCUCCUAUGACACCUUCGUGGUCCGUGUGGCCCCUGACACUGGCGUCCAUACUGUACACAUCCAGCCACCCCCACCCCCACCACCUCCACCACCCCCUGCAGAUGGUGGGCCCCGGGGGGCCGGGGAUCCAGGAGGAGCAGGGGCCAGCAGUGGGCCAGGCGCCCCAGCAGAGCCACGGAUACGGGAGGUAUGGCCGCGGGGCCUGAUU